UUAAUGGUUAACCUAACUGUUCCCUUGAGAAAGUAGGCGAUUAAGUAUGGCGACCUGGAAGUGUCUCGACCCGGAAGACCUUGUCCGUAUGUCCCGUAUAGCGGAGGGGUAGCAGGUCAGAAUUUUUUACUAUUUGGAACGAGGUACCGUUUAAGUGUGGUAAAACAUAUAAACCAAAAUAGGUCAAACAGCCUCCGUUUGAGGAGAAAGUUUGAGCCUAUAAAAAUCGACGAAUAAACAUAUAGUUCUCAAAGUUGUUGUGGUUUCCGGACAAACUCGCCUAGGUAUAAAAUGUGAGGUGUUGCUAGUUGUAUGCACAGAAUUCAUCUGCCCACGGAAGAACUUGAUCGCUCUUUUCCGCUCCUCAAUCGAAUUUGUUUUCAAUUUCUUCAGUCUCUUUUUACACAUUUCGGCAAAAUGAUGAAAACUAUUUUGGCAAUGGCUGUCCUAGUUGCUGUUCUCAGCAUGGAGAUUUUGGCGGCUAGUUUAAAUUCUCCUCAAGUUCAGGAGGAGACUCCUGCAGAAGAGCGUACGUUUGGCUUGUUAGCCCUGUUCGCGAUCUGGCCUGCCAUCAAAGGCUUCUUCAAAAGUAUUUUUGCUCCCGCAGCCGUUACCUACUAGAGGAAAAAUCAACUUCAACUUGACACUCGUCUACAUCAUGUUUUCAAUCUGCAUCUGUUUUUUUCCUUACGAGAUGUAAAUAACGUAUCGCAUAAUCGGAAUCAAGGUCAAUUCAAGGGAAGUUUUUUUUCCCGUAUCCUUCUUUGAACUGCCAUUCAAUGUGCUGUGCGCAAAUACAAUGAGCGAUAAUUAUUCCUGACAGGGAUACUUGCAAUAAAAUCUCAUGUACCACUCA